GGCGAGAAAAUCUGAGAUAUUACUGUGAUAAUAAGUCACCGUAAAUAGUUUUAAAUAUCAAAACUCAUUUUUCCCCCUUAUUUCUUUCUUCCCCACGCCCGAUACCCGCUCUCCAUUUCGCCGUCCCCCCCAGCCGAAACUCCACAGCUUACCUCCCAACCAGGGCACGCCACCAAUGUCGACGGCUCCACCUCCACCACCGCCUCACUCUGCUGACCGUCCCCUACUCAGUCUCCAAUUGUAAGCUCUCUCUAUCUCUACCCUUCGGUCUCUCCUCUCUCAAAUUGAAGGUAAGAGAUCCCCUGUACUUACUCUACACAGUUCGUCUCCCUCUCUUUUUAAAAUGUAUUUGUUUUCUAUUUCCAAACCUUUUAAACUUGCAGGUUUUGUUUAGUACGGUAGAAAGAAAUGCUUUUAUUUACAUUUAACUCACUACUUUGGUGUUAAUUUGAUGUUUACACCUUUUAUGAAUUGGACGUGCUGCUCUAUCUGAAGAUGCACUCUACUUGUUUGUUCAAAGUUUGAAAAGAAUGCAAUUAGACAGAUUCUUUAUGGGUGAUUUGCACUUGAGCUCAAAAUGAGUUAAGUUGCAACCAUAAAGUGCAUGAAUAAAGUACCUCACUUGAGUUAAAAUCUUGUAAAAGAUUCAGCUUUUAUCACUCGCAUAUGUUGAUCGAUUAAUAUAUUGAAAUGUUUAAUUUUUUUUUUCAAUAAGUAUAUGCAUGUAUUUAUUUGUUGUAAACUUUAUACCAUGUAAAAAUAUUAGACUUCAUUUAAUUAUCUUAUGUGUAGUAAAUGGGAAACCGGGCCAACUUGGACUCACUUUAGCUAUUGAAUGUCUGGCAGUAUAAUGGGCUAUUUAAGUUCGACUAUGUUUCUUUUAUAACUUUCAUUGAAGUUCACUAUGCUUUUUUACUUGGUCGAUUCAAAGAUUUUUGGUUUACCGUGGAUAGCUUUCAAACCUCCUAUGCUUUUCUUUCCAUGUUUUAGAAGCAUUAAUUCUUGGGUAAGUGGAGAGUCUAAAUGCAAC